UCUAUUUUUAGAAAAUGAUGAAGUAAGUCUCAAAGAAAUUUUGGAGAAGUUAAGCACACAAAAACCAGACCCUGUAUUGGCAGAUAUACAAACAGCCCUUAAUACUGUCAGGUUGAUGAGCUCUGACAAAAUUCAAAUUGCCAACUUAAAGGAUGCUUUCAGUGACCUCAAUGUUCCUUUAAAACCUGAGGAUCAGCAGAUGUUAGAGAAAACACUUGAUGCUGAUGAAAAUGGAGACAUUUCCCAAAGGACCGCUCUUUUAGCGUUGAAGAGCAGUAAGCGUUUACAGGAUUUUAGAG